UAUAAGGACCAUUAUUUUCCUCUGUGUUUGCCAUUAUUUUUCUAUGGAAAAACACAACCAUAUGAAGGAUUUGAAGAAUGUUGGCUGUUCCAGUAAAUCUAAAUGAGAACAUAAUAUAUCAACAACAGCACGGAAAGGACUGAUAACAAAUGUUGACCCAAAUGUUUAGUUUCUUUGAAGUGUGGCAAUUUUCAGGCCAAAACAAAAUAGAGAAACAAUUAAGCUGAAGGACAAUGAAGACCGUGGCAGCCUUGCUGUCAUGUUUGCUACAGUCUGCUGAGUGACUUAAUUUCUCUGGAAAUACAGAUGAACAGUGUGGGUAGGCAUCAGGGCUGGAUGGCUGACCAUAGAAACAGGAACUAUUUAGUAAUUCAUACAGCGUGAGAUGGGCUCAUAAGAAAUACGGAGGCAGAGAACAGAUACAAGGAUAAAGACUGAAGCACCAGCGAGAGCUGGGCAUUACGACUGCCGUGUCUCAUAUGCGACUCCUCUGCGGGUCACUGGAGAUGAUCAGCCUGACAUACACAGAAUUCACUGUGGGGUCUCCUGUGCAACAAGAAUCAAAACAAUGAUGACGCCAAGGCGAAGCUGAGAGGGGUGUCUUACAUGGACAGAGCUGCUUUGAGGGUCACAGUUGGAAGACCAUUAAGAAUGCACUGAAGUACAUCCCCCCAGCAUGCUGAAUGAGGGAGGUGUUAAACAAGAGCCCUGCCAUUAUCAUUCACAUAAGUGUGUGUUUCUGUAUAUGGGUGUGUGUGUGUAUCGGGGGGUGAUUGUUAUGUCUGUUGUAGUAUGUACUCUUCAAAGCCCUCGGAUCAAUCACAAAUGAGUAAUUUCCAUGUCCUAUUUGGGUUAUGGUAUAAUUAACUGGUUCCUUUCUGUUGAAUUUCAUUGGUCUCAAUACGCAAACACAGUCCCUCCUGUUAACUCUUUAUGCUCUCCGGGAACAACAGGCAGGUGUGACCAGUAACAACAGGAUGACAGGGUUCAACACCUCUGCUCCCCACUGACUUCCUCUCACACCCCAGCUCCACAUUCAACCACACCCAGAACAACAAGCGAUACAAUUCUCAGUGUGUCUGCCAAUGUACAGUAUAUGUGGACAAAAAUGUGCAUAUGCUCUGUGUUUGUGUCUGCAGGAUGGAUGUGGGCUUGCACCCUGCUUUUAAACCUUGAAUACCUUCACUGAGUUAAUCCAUUUAACUGCAGAAGUGCUCAUGAACUCAGACAAUUGUAGUAACCCCAAACAGUCGCUGAUAACCUCUAAGCCUAACCUGUGACCUCUGACCUUAACCUCGGGGCUCUUCAAACAAGACACUGGCCUCUAGGGAUUCAACACACAUAUCUUAAUGGGUUUCUUUUUUCUUUCUCUGUUUUGCUUUCUCCUUUUUUUGGUCUCUUCUAUGUUGUUCUCCAGUCUCUGUCUGGUUUUUGUUCAAGAUAAUCCUUUAAGUCUGUUUCCUUUAGAGCCCAUCCUGAGUUUCCACAACACCGAGCCAGAGGCUGGUUGUGGUGUACACGUGAGGAGUAAACAGCAAUGCAUAGAUCUGUUUAUCUAACCUUCUCUGGGCUGGGCGAUACUUCUUGUUUUACAGCUGAUACCUACAAACUCAGAUUUUUUUAUUGCUCCCCUUUUAA